rnacentral:lncRNA from 1 species
GGGCGUAGUGCAGGCCACACCUGGACUUCCAUAUCAUAUCAUAUCAUGUCUCAUCAUAUCGAGGACUAAUGGGUCAUCCAACAUCCAUCCACAUCAACAUCAAAUUAUGCAAUGCAACAUAUUCGUGAAAUUCUAAUGCAACAACCUAAAAUAUAUCAUGGCAUUCGUGAUGCAUGAACAUGCUCAAAAUUUAUUUGCUUG